rnacentral:rRNA from 1 species
GAGUUUGAUCAUGGCUCAGAUUGAACGCUGGCGGCAGGCCUAACACAUGCAAGUCGAGCGGUAGAGAGAAGCUUGCUUCUCUUGAGAGCGGCGGACGGGUGAGUAAUGCCUAGGAAUCUGCCUGGUAGUGGGGGAUAACGUUCGGAAACGGACGCUAAUACCGCAUACGUCCUACGGGAGAAAGCAGGGGACCUUCGGGCCUUGCGCUAUCAGG